rnacentral:rRNA from 1 species
CAUGUAGGCGGUUUUGAAAGCUUGAUGUGAAAUCCCACAGCUUAACUGUGGAACUGCAUUGAGAACCGCAAGACUAGAGUUACUGAAGGGAAACUAGAAUUCCAAGUAUAAGAAUAAAAUCUGUAGAUAUUUGGAAGAAUACCAAUGGCGAAGGCAAGUUUCUGGCAGAUAACUGACGCUGAGGUGCGAAGGUGCGGGGAGCAAACA